GCUGCACCACCGCGCCCUGCUCCAACAGGAAGCCGCAGACCUCCGUCUUCCCGCGGCCGGCUGCCGCCGUCAGGGCUGAAGAGAAGACGAAGGACGAGCGGGUUCAGAUCCGAGAAACAUGAGCCGGAACACAGAUUCCAGUGAAAUCAGCAGAAAACACAGCAGCACAAGGGAAUAUUUUGACAGUCUGUCCCGGACUGUAACAAGGUCUGAAGUCCUGCAGGCCUUUGGCUGGACACAAGCACCGGUUAGCCACAUUGUGGCUAAAAAGCCUGACCUACAUUCCUCUAGCACCAAACCUUUUAGUGCUAAAUCCAGCUGCCUUACAACUGAACAUGAAGAGACUAUUAUUAAAAUUCGCAUUUUGCAAAAAAAAAAA